UGGAGGAGUAGCGAAGUGGCUAAACGCGACGGACUGUAAAUCCGUUCCUUAGGGUUCAGUGGUUCGAAUCCACUCUCCUCCA
rnacentral:tRNA from 2 species